AGUAACGCGUAUGCAACUUGCCUAUCAGGAGGGGAUAACCCGGCGAAAGUCGGACUAAUACCGCAUGAAGCAGGGGCCCCGCAUGGGGAUAUUUGCUAAAGAUUCAUCGCUGAUAGAUAGGCAUGCGUUCCAUUAGCUAGUUGGUGGGGUAACGGCCUACCAAGGCGACGAUCAGUAGCCGACCUGAGAGGGUGACCGGCCACAUUGGGACUGAGACACGGCCCAA
rnacentral:rRNA from 1 species